AUCCUGCUGACGUGUCAAAAAUGGGAUGAAACGCGCGUCUUGGAU
rnacentral:hammerhead_ribozyme from 1 species